rnacentral:rRNA from 1 species
UACGAAGGGGGCGAGCGUUGUUCGGAUUUACUGGGCGUAAAGGGCGCGCAGGCGGCUAUCCAAGUCAGGCGUGAAAGCCCCGGGCUUAACCUGGGAGGUGCGUCUGGGACUGGGUGGCUAGAGUUCGGGAGAGGAGAGUGGAAUUCCCAGUGUAGAGGUGAAAUUCGUAGAUAUUGGGAAGAACACCGGUGGCGAAGGCGGCUCUCUGGACCGAGACUGACGCUGAGGCGCGAAAGCCAGGGGAGCGAACGGG